CAGGAAAAGAAUUUGAGCUCUCUCUCUAGAGGAAGAUCUUCUGAGUUCACCCCCAAGGGAUAAUCGACAGUAAAGGAAAUGAAUGGAACGUUUCAGGGCACUGCUAGCCUUAGUACGAUGUGAAGAAUGAGGGCAACACAUUCCACACACAGUUCCAAGAACGCUCCUUUCUUCAGCUCUCCGCUGUAUGGACUGUGCUUGAGAAGACACUGUGUAACUACCAUCCCUG